rnacentral:rRNA from 1 species
AUUGAACGCUGGCGGCAUGCUUUACACAUGCAAGUCGAACGGUAACAGGCCGCAAGGUGCUGACGAGUGGCGAACGGGUGAGUAAUGCAUCGGAACGUGCCCAGUCGUGGGGGAUAACGCAGCGAAAGCUGCGCUAAUACCGCAUACGAUCUGUGGAUGAAAGCGGGGGACCGUAAGGCCUCGCGCGAUUGGAGCGGCCGAUGUCAGAGUAGGUAGUUGGUGGGGUAAAGGCUCACCAAGCCGACGAUCUUUAGCUGGUCUGAGAGGACGACCAGCCACACUGGGACUGAGACACGGCCCAGACUACUACGGGAGGCAGCAGUGGGGAAUUUUGGACAAUGGGGGCAACCCUGAUCCAGCAAUGCCGCGUGCAGGAAGAAGGCCUUCGGGUUGUAAACUGCUUUUGUACGGAACGAAACGGCUCUGGUUAAUACCUGGGGCUAAUGACGGUACCGUAAGAAUAAGCACCGGCUAACUACGUGCCAGCCGCCGCGGUAACAC